CCUACGGGAGGCAGCAGUGGGGAAUUUUGGACAAUGGGCGAAAGCCUGAUCCAGCAAUGCCGCGUGCAGGAAGAAGGCCUUCGGGUUGUAAACUGCUUUUGUACGGAACGAAACGGUCUGCUUUAAUACAGUGGGCUAAUGACGGUACCGUAAGAAUAAGCACCGGCUAACUACGUGCCAGCAGCCGCGGUAAUACGUAGGGUGCGAGCGUUAAUCGGAAUUACUGGGCGUAAAGCGUGCGCAGGCGGUUAUAUAAGACAGUUGUGAAAUCCCCGGGCUCAACCUGGGAAUUGCAUCUGUGACUGUAUAGCUAGAGUACGGUAGAGGGGGAUGGAAUUCCGCGUGUAGCAGUGAAAUGCGUAGAUAUGCGGAGGAACACCGAUGGCGAAGGCAAUCCCCUGGACCUGUACUGACGCUCAUGCACGAAAGCGUGGGGAGCAAACAGGAUUAGAUACCCUGGUAGUCCACGCCCUAAACGAUGUCAACUGGUUGUUGGGUGCAUUAGUACUCAGUAACGAAGCUAACGCGUGAAGUUGACCGCCUGGGGAGUACGGCCGCAAGGUUGAAACUCAAAUGAAUUGAGGG
rnacentral:rRNA from 1 species